GAUCCUGGCUCAGGAUGAACGCUGGCGGCGUGCUUAACACAUGCAAGUCGAACGGAGUUCCUUGGAUAGAGGUUUCGGCCAAUUGAAUUGGAACUUAGUGGCGGACGGGUGAGUAACGCGUGAGUAACCUGCCUUGGAGUGGGAAUAACACAGAGAAAUUUGUGCUAAUACCGCAUAAUGCAUUUGAGUCGCAUGGCUCUGAAUGCCAAAGAUUUAUCGCUCUGAGAUGGACUCGCGUCUGAUUAGCUAGUUGGCGGGGUAACGGCCCACCAAGGCGACGAUCAGUAGCCGGACUGAGAGGUUGGCCGGCCACAUUGGGACUGAGACACGGCCCAGACUCCUACGGGAGGCAGCAGUGGGGAAUAUUGGGCAAUGGGCGCAAGCCUGACCCAGCAACGCCGCGUGAAGGAAGAAGGUUUUCGGAUUGUAAACCUCUGUCCUCAGGGACGAAGGAAGUGACGGUACCUGAGGAGGAAGCCCCGGCUAACUACGUG
rnacentral:rRNA from 1 species